CUCUCCACGCGAGGACCCGAAAUUAAUAACGCGGCCUGGCGCAAAUACGGCGCACAUAAUUAAAGCGAUAUUACGAUCCGGGACACCGGAUGGCGCUGUAUCGUCUAACAACCGGCUCACUCUCCGCGUCCCUGUUAUUUACCACUCCUCACCGGUGCUACGCCAUUCAAGAUGUGUACAUUUUGAUUACCCAUCUACGCAAACUGUUUGCGAACAGUCAGCUGAUUUGUGUCAAUAUUCCUAGUCGUGAUCAAGCAGGUUAAUAAGUACUAACUAUUCAUAAGAGGAAUAUCAAGUGGAUUAAAACUUUCUCCUUUGAGGAUCGAGCUCAUUCUCGACAGACACCCGGCUGCAUUACCAUUCAGGGCCAAUCACGGAGCAAACUAACCGUCUUCUCAAACAUUAAAGGAAACGUAGAGUGAAAUUCAAAGGGCGGGUUUCUUUAUAACGUGAUAAUUUUGUAAAGUAGCGGAACGGUGUA